AUUGAACGCUGGCGGCAGGCCUAACACAUGCAAGUCGAACGGUAGCACAGAGGAGCUUGCUCCUUGGGUGACGAGUGGCGGACGGGUGAGUAAUGUCUGGGAAACUGCCCGAUGGAGGGGGAUAACUACUGGAAACGGUAGCUAAUACCGCAUAACGUCGCAAGACCAAAGAGGGGGACCUUCGGGCCUCUUGCCAUCGGAUGUGCCCAGAUGGGGUUAGCUAGUAGGUGGGGUAACGGCUCACCUAGGCGACGAUCCCUAGCUGGUCUGAGAGGAUGACCAGCCACACUGGAACUGAGACACGGUCCAGACUCCUACGGGAGGCAGCAGUGGGGAAUAUUGCACAAUGGGCGCAAGCCUGAUGCAGCCAUGCCGCGUGUAUGAAGAAGGCCUUCGGGUUGUAAAGUACUUUCAGCGAGGAGGAAGGCGUUGUGGUUAAUAACCGCAACGAUUGACGUUACUCGCAGAAGAAGCACCGGCUAACUCCGUGCCAGCAGCCGCGGUAAAAGGG
rnacentral:rRNA from 1 species